GGGGUGGUCGAUUUCGAAACGUACGGCAACUGGGCGUUGGACGCAACGUGGGGGCUGUUGCGGUGCUGAGGCAGAUGCGGUUAGGGUUUUCCUCUUUUAUUUUUUUGUUUUGCUGUAUUGGGCUCGGGUUUGUAUUUGUUUGUUGGUUUGGGCUGUUUUUUUGUUUUGUUUGGACCCAGGCCGAUUGGGCCUUAUUACAGCUGCCCCUCUUUGCGCAUUGUCGUGUAACGGGAAUAGAGCAAAUACUACAAGGCCCAAUUAUGCCUAGUCUUAUUGAGCCUCGACUUCUUCAGUGCCUUUCUUCUUCAAGUAGCCUCGUUCCUUCCUACUGCAUCUUCAGAGGUAUAGGAACCGGU
rnacentral:lncRNA from 1 species